CCGAUCUGAAAGUCAAGCUAAC
rnacentral:rRNA from 1 species